AAUAUGCCUUAACGUGGGGGACAACAGUUGGAAACGACUGCUAAUACCGCAUAAUGUCUACGGACCAAAGCAGGGGACUUCGGGCCUUGCGCGUUUAGAGUAGCCCAAGUGGGAUUAGCUAGUUGGUAAGGUAAUGGCUUACCAAGGCGACGAUCCCUAGCUGGUCUUAGAGGAUGACCAGCCACACUGGAACUGAGACACGGUCCAGACUCCUACGGGAGGCAGCAGUGGGGAAUAUUGCACAAUGGAGGAAACUCUGAUGCAGCCAUGCCGCGUGUGUGAAGAAGGCUUUCGGGUUGUAAAGCACUUUCAGCGAGGAGGAAAGGGUAGUAGUUAAUAACUGCUAUCUGUGACGUUACUCGCAGAAGAAGCACCGGCUAACUCCGUGCCAGCAGCCGCGGUAAUACGGAGGGUGCGAGCGUUAAUCGGAAUUACUGGGCGUAAAGCGCGCGUAGGUGGUUAAUUAAGUCAGAUGUGAAAGCCCAGGGCUCAACCUUGGAACUGCAUUUGAAACUGGUUGACUAGAGUUUUGUAGAGGGUGGUAGAAUUUCAGGUGUAGCGGUGAAAUGCGUAGAGAUCUGAAGGAAUACCAGUGGCGAAGGCGGCCACCUGGACAAAGACUGACACUGAGGCGCGAAGGCGUGGGGAGCAAACGGGAUUAGAUACCCCGGUAGUCCACGCAGUAAACGAUGUCUAUUAGAAGUUUGUGGCUAUAUGCCGUGGGUUUCAAACGUAACGCAUUAAAUAGACCGCCUGGGGAGUACGGCCGCAAGGUUAAAACGCAAAUGAAUUGACGGGGGCCCGCACAAGCGGUGGAGCAUGUGGUUUAAUUCGAUGCAACGCGAAGAACCUUACCAUCCCUUGACAUCCAGAGAAUCAGCCUAGAGAUAGAUGAGUGCCUNCGGGAACUCUGAGACAGGUGCUGCAUGGCUGUCGUCAGCUCGUGUUGUGAAAUGUUGGGUUAAGUCCCGCAACGAGCGCAACCCUUAUCCUUACUUGCCAGCGGUCACCGGGAACUUUAGGGAGACUGCCGGUGAUAAACCGGAGGAAGGUGGGGACGACGUCAAGUCAUCAUGGCCCUUACGGGAUGGGCUACACACGUGCUACAAUGGCAGAUACAAAGGGUUGCUAACCUGCGAGGGUAUGCGAAUCUCAUAAAGUCUGUCGUAGUCCGGAUCGGAGUCUGCAACUCGACUCCGUGAAGUUGGAAUCGCUAGUAAUCGUGGAUCAGAAUGCC
rnacentral:rRNA from 1 species